AGGACGAACGCUGGCGGCGUGCUUAACACAUGCAAGUCGAGCGGAAAGGCCCUUCGGGGUACUCGAGCGGCGAACGGGUGAGUAACACGUGAGCAAUCUGCCCCUAGCUCUGGGAUAGCUCCGGGAAACCGGAAUUAAUACCUGAUACGACCACGGCUGACAUCGGCCAUGGUGGAAAGCUUUGCGGCUAGGGAUGAGCUCGCGGCCUAUCAGCUUGUUGGUGGGGUAACGGCCUACCAAGGCGACGACGGGUAGCCGGCCUGAGAGGGCGACCGGCCACACUGGGACUGAGACACGGCCCAGACUCCUACGGGAGGCAGCAGUGGGGAAUAUUGCGCAAUGGGCGAAAGCCUGACGCAGCGACGCCGCGUGCGGGAUGAAGGCCUUCGGGUUGUAAACCGCUUUCAGCAGGGACGAAGCGAAAGUGACGGUACCUGCAGAAGAAGCGCCGGCUAACUACGUGCCAGCAGCCGCGGUAA
rnacentral:rRNA from 1 species